UUAUAUAUCCAUACAUAUAUGUAAAAGUAGGGUUGGGUUGAGUAGAUGCUACAGCAAAGGCACGCGAACGCGAAAGAAAAUUAAAUAGGGAGAGAGGGACAGAUGUUAAUGUUGACACAUGACACAGGACAAAAAAAUAUGACACGCAAAAUCCCAAAACUGCCUGGCUCCUCCCCAUUGAUUGUAUGUAGCUACCAGAGAUGGUCCAAGUCUACCCUAAUUUAACCAAAAAAAAAAAAAAAGCAAAAAAGAGGGUCCAGAAUAAAAGGAGGAAGGGUGGGUGGGGGACUGCCUGCGUCUGCUUCUAUAUAUGCCUUUUGUUGGCUAUAUAUGUUUUGUGCUCCCACCGCUCUUCCGUUUUCGCAGUGAGAAGGAGGAAGAGCCUGGAAAAUACGGAGACGGAGGAAGGGGUAAGUAUAAGGUGCGAUAAUCUCAUGGUGCACCCUCUAGCAGUUGAAGCUGCCAGCAUGAUCUGAGCUCACCUUCUUAUGUGGCGGGAACAGAUCAUGCGGCAGUUUCACCUGUUGAAUGGGAGCAGCGAUCCCUGCCCUAGCUGAUUCGCUUUCUCCGAUCUGCUCACCACCUCCCUCAAACCCUAGAAAAAGGUCUGGUAUCUUCUUUUUCCACAUUGAUGCUUUUCUAAACAGUUCCUAUUAUUUCACGCACGCUUCGUUCCCUUACUUAUCCAUUGAAAAGUAAAGAAAUCUAAAUUCUGAGGUACAAAUUAAUCCUCAAGUGAGGGGAACGCGGUUUGGUCAAGCCUCGGGGGUGGUGCUUCUCAACUGUAUUGGUGUACAUGUUCGUCAUAUACUGUUUGUUUGCACUCCGGUGUAACACGCACAAACACAUGCCUUUCUUUUUUACUCUCUUGCAACUAUUCUGAUUCGUAUAUCUACAUUCAGUUUUGCAUUUCUUCUGUUCUUUUUGUGACUGAUGAAUCACAGCCCACUUCCAAUUUCCAGAUCUGGGCAAUACUAUUAUAUGUGCCCAUCUAAUAAAUGGAAUCGUUAAAGCUCAUCAACACGCAGGCCUUCGUCUCCGGCAUGCUUUGGAUGCAUGAAAUUUUGGACAAGACGCCGGAUCAGGAGAAAAAAGGGAAGAAAGAAAAGAAGGGAGGAAAAAAGAAAAAGAAAACCUCUGAUUUUCGAGGUCUAUGUAUUCGGACCAAACCAAACUAAACUGGCCAUAUAUAUAUAUAUGUAUGUGUAUAUGUCGUCUAGGUGGCAUAACAGCAACCAUAUGCAUAAAAGGAAAGCUUCUUUGACGCCGACAAUAUGCUUAAUUAUAGCAAUGAAUGAUCAUUUAGUUGGAAUUUAAUUUAAUUGUUCA